AAAUCAUGAUGCAGGCAUCUUCUCAAUAGUUCCUUGAAUCGCUCCCACACCUCGAAAAGCAAUUAUGUCUCAUAUUGUUAGAAGCAAUAUAUCUCUAUCAUAAGCUU